rnacentral:piRNA from 1 species
UAGCUUCAGGAGGUGGGAGUUACAGUGC